CUAGCGACUUCAGAGUUUGAUCCUGGCUCAGGAUGAACGCUGGCGGCGUGCAUAACACAUUCAAGUCGAACGGUGACGACCUUCGGGUCUGAUCAGUGGCGGACGGGUGAGUAACGCGUGAGCAACCUGCCCUUGUGUGGGGGAUAACGUCUGGAAACGGACGAUAAUACCGCAUAACACGUACAGACCGCAUGAUCUGCAUGUCAAAGAUUUAUUGCGCAAGGAUGGGCUCGCGUCUGAUUAGGUAGUUGGUGAGGUAACGGCUCACCAAGCCGACGAUCAGUAGCCGGACUGAGAGGUUGAACGGCCACAUUGGAACUGAGAAACGGUCCAG
rnacentral:rRNA from 1 species